UGCGGGGUAUUCGGUUAUAACUAUUUUAUCCCUGGUUUUGGGAGAAAAUUAGUGUUGAAUUAAGGGCAUUUUUGUAAUCUUUAAUUCCUUACUUUGCUUUUUGCUAAGGUAUUUGUUAGUAAUUAGAUUAAGCUUUUAGAGUUUAGAUUGGAUUAUUUAAGAAUUUAAGGUAGACAUCAACCUAGGAAUUACAUUAAACUCACCCACCUAACCAUCUCUUUCUCUUUCCUUCAACCUUAAGAAAACUUAGAGAAAAACCAUGGGUAAUUUUGAGCUAAUUCACCAAAACAACAAGAAUUUCAGAUAGUGUUUCAAGUGAAAUUCAAAGAAGAAUCAAGGUAAAUGUCAGAAUUGAACAGCUAUGAGUAUUGGAGCUCAGUAAUGAUUGAUUACAUAAAACACUCUAUAUCUUUCAAUAUUAAUAUACUAUGAAUUAUCUAUUGUUUCAAUCAAAUUAAUCAUUGAUCCUCUAUAGAUGGUCUA